AGUGAACGCUGGCGGUAGGCCUAACACAUGCAAGUCGAACGGCAGCACAGUAAGAGCUUGCUCUUACGGGUGGCGAGUGGCGGACGGGUGAGGAAUACAUCGGAAUCUACUUUUUCGUGGGGGAUAACGUAGGGAAACUUACGCUAAUACCGCAUACGACCUACGGGUGAAAGCAGGGGAUCUUCGGACCUUGCGCGAUUGAAUGAGCCGAUGUCGGAUUAGCUAGUUGGCGGGGUAAAGGCCCACCAAGGCGACGAUCCGUAGCUGGUCUGAGAGGAUGAUCAGCCACACUGGAACUGAGACACGGUCCAGACUCCUACGGGAGGCAGCAGUGGGGAAUAUUGGACAAUGGGCGCAAGCCUGCUCCAGCCAUACCGUGUGGGUGAAGAAGGCCUUCGGGUUGUAAAGCCCUUUUGUUGGGAAAGAAAAGCAGCAGGUUAAUACCCCGCUGUUCUGACGGUACCCAAAGAAUAAGCACCGGCUAACUUCGUG
rnacentral:rRNA from 1 species